rnacentral:sRNA from 1 species
CAUGGAAAGCUGAUAGCUUCAUUGCACCAUGUGUGGCAUUUGGGCGCUGUUUGGCAGUGAUGACUGCCUUUCUGUUCAGUGUCUGAGUGCUAUGAAGAUUGCACACAGAGGUCCAGAUGCAUUCCGUUUUGAGAAUGUCAAUGGAUACACUAACUGCUGCUUUGGAUUUCACCGGUUGGCAGUAGUUGACCCGCUGUUUGGAAUGCAGCCAAUUCGAGUGAAGAAAUAUCCGUAUUUGUGGCUCUGUUACAAUGGUGAAAUCUACAACCAUAAGAAGAUGCAACAGCAUUUUGAAUUUGAAUACCAGACCAAAGUGGAUGGUGAGAUAAUCCUUCAUCUUUAUGACAAAGGAGGAAUUGAGCAAACAAUAUGUAUGUUGGAUGGUGUGUUUGCAUUUGUUUUACUGGAUACUGCCACUAAGAAAGUGUUCCUGGGUAGAGAUACAUAUGGAGUCAGACCUUUGUUUAAAGCAAUGACAGAAGAUGGAUUUUUGGCUGUAUGUUCAGAAGCUAAAGGUAAUAAUAAAUUUUUCUAUAGAUUUUCAUUAUUGUCUUGGUUGUAUGUUUUCUUUUAAAUUAUAUUUGAAAAUCUCUUAGAGAGCAAUCCAGAAUUUUACAAGUGACUGAUUAAGUUAUGAGUCUUUACCUUUUUUUAAAAAAAAGAGUUGUACUCUCCUUUUUAGCACUUAAAUUCUGUAAUCCUUGAAGGAUGAUUCUUUAGUGCAGUCAUUUAUUUUUUGCUGUGCUAAUAUGCUCUGCAUCUAGCUUGAUCGUAAGUGCAGUUUUAAGUUUUCCUGUGUCAUACUAUAAUCGUAGGGUUGACUCUGCAAUUAUUGCACUGUGGUACUUUGCCACCAUUAUAGCACAGCAAAUGUUAGGAUUUCUAAAACAGCUUUAUUGAUAAUUCACAUACCAUGUAAUUCACCCACUUGAAGUAUACAGUUCGGUGGUUUUUAGUAUAUUCACAGAUGUUGGUAACCAACACUCCAAUCAGUUUUAGAAUUGUUUUUCCACCUUAAAAAAAACAAAUCAAAUCCUACGCCCUUUACCUUAGUUUUUGCUGGCAGGUUCAACUAGGGUUUUUUUUUGUUUGUUUGUUUGUUUGUUUUUUUAAGAGAUGGGGUCUUGCUCAGUCGCCCAGCCCAGGCUGGAGUGCAGUGGUUUGAUCAUAGCUUAGUACAGCCUUGAACUCCUGGGCUCAAGUGAUUCUCCCACCUCAGCCUCCCUAGUAGCUAGGAGUAUAGGCAUGCACCACAACACCCUGCCUCCUGUGCCCUUUAGCUUUGAAUUCCAUCUCUCCAUAUCCAUCAUCUGCACCCCUGCAGUUGUAGCCCGGCAAUCACCAGUCUUUCUGCCUCUGAAUUCCCUAUUCUGUAUGUUUCAUAUGAAUGGGAUUAUGUAUCAUAUGGGCUUUUGUGACUGGAUUCUUUCACUUGGCAUAGUGCUUUCGAGAUUUGUCUAUGCUGUAGUAUGUAUCAGUACUUACUUCUUAUGGCCAAAUGAUAUUCCAUUACAUGGAUACACUGCAUUUUGUUUAUCCACUUGUCAGUUGAUGGACAUUUAAGACAUUAUUUACCCCUUUUGGCUAUUACGAAUAAUGCUGCUAUAAACAUUGGUGUACAAGUUUUUGUGUAGACAUUUCUCUUGGGUGUAUAUCUAGGAGUAGAAUUGCUGGGACACAUGAUAACUAUGU